AAAUGGGCAAAUUAGUCUUUGUCCGUUAGAUCAAAGAGCAAAGUGGUUCUUUUUGUGUAAAAAUUCAUUCGUUUUUAUUGUUAAAAUUUAGCGUGGUUGACGAAUUAACCAAACAGUUACACGUGCCACAUGUAGCAUAUUCUGACUUACAAGAACCAGUUUUUAAUAGUAGAUUGGAUGAAAUUUUUAACAUAAGGAUUAGUUAGCUCUUUUAUCUAACGUGUAGGGACUAAUUUGCCCAUU
rnacentral:pre_miRNA from 1 species